rnacentral:rRNA from 1 species
UACGUAGGUGGCAAGCGUUGUCCGGAAUUAUUGGGCGUAAAGGAUGCGUAGGCGGUCUUUUAAGUGGGAUGUGAAAUACCCGGGCUUAACCUGGGAAUGGCAUUCCAAACUGGAAGACUAGAGUGCAGGAGAGGAAAGUGGAAUUCCCAGUGUAGCGGUGAAAUGCGUAGAGAUUGGGAGGAACACCAGUGGCGAAGGCGGCUUUCUGGACUGUAACUGACGCUGAGGCAUGAAAGCGUGGGGAGCAAACAGG